AUUGAACGCUGGCGGCAUGCUUUACACAUGCAAGUCGAACGGUAACAGGUUAAGCUGACGAGUGGCGAACGGGUGAGUAAUGCAUCGGAACGUGCCCGAUCGUGGGGGAUAACGCAGCGAAAGCUGCGCUAAUACCGCAUACGAUCUGAGGAUGAAAGCGGGGGACCGUAAGGCCUCGCGCGAUCGGAGCGGCCGAUGUCAGAUUAGGUAGUUGGUGGGGUAAAGGCUCACCAAGCCGACGAUCUGUAGCUGGUCUGAGAGGACGACCAGCCACACUGGGACUGAGACACGGCCCAGACUCCUACGGGAGGCGGCAGUGGGGAAUUUUGGACAAUGGGCGCAAGCCUGAUCCAGCAAUGCCGCGUGCAGGAAGAAGGCCUUCGGGCUGUAAACUGCUUUUGUACGGAGCGAAAAGGCUCUCUCUAAUACAGGGGGCUCAUGACGGUACCGUAAGAAUAAGCACCGGCUAACUACGUGCCAGCCGCCGCCGUAA
rnacentral:rRNA from 1 species